CAUGGAUAAAUGCUUCCCACUCCCUGAAGGUCCUUCGUGGCAGAGAGGAGCUUGGGGAAUGAGGACUUGGGGUAGGGAAGAACAAGACAGAGCCAGGGACUGAAAGUUAAGGGUCCAGGAACAAGACCACUCAUACUUGGAUCCUUGGGGUCCUCAUUUGGAAGUAGGGGGAAUCAUUGCCCUGGCUGAGGUGAGGAUGCCUUCUGAGAAAACUAGACACCCCAGAGGGGAGUGGCAAAGAGGGCGGCAGGAGUGUCUUCUGAGGUCCCUUCCACAGCCCUGAAAUCCUUCAGGGCCUGCUGUUUUACUCCUGGGACUCCGGAGAGCCUUUGCCUUGAGGUCACCCAAAGAAAGAUUCCUGCCUGGGGCUGCAGUGCUAGUGCUGGCCACCAGGGGACAGGCAGCCUCCUGGUUCAUGGUGCCCACUGAGCUUUGCUGGAGCAAUUGGGGCAGGAAGAGCCAUGCAGAAUGUCAUUUCGGCCACGCCUCUGCUUCAGAAACAAUAUGCACCUCCUACGAUUAGUGAUCAUUUCUACAGAAUGAGCUGGGCAGAGGCAGGAAGAAGAGCUCCAAGAUCUCCCCAUUUAUUUAUUUAUUCGGAGAUUUAUUUAUUUAUUUAUUCCGAGAUUAUGGCUCACCCUGUGCCAGGUGCCAAAUGGUCUCUCUCUUCCAGGAGCUUUCAGUCUGGAGGAGAGAAGGACAAAAGCACAGAAGCAAGACAUGUGAAAGAAAAGAAGCUCCACCCAGGACAUUGUCAAGGAGCUGGUUGAUGGGUUCAACUCCUCCAUCUCACUAGACAAGGGGCAGAUGCAUCUGGCGAUGAACAAUGGCCAACACUGGUCUGGGGUAAGUGUGGGCACAUAGUGGUCUCCAUACCCAGGACACUGAGAUGACCGGGGUGAACCCAGAACCCAGUCAAUCUGGUGAAUCCCCUGGGUUCCUUCCAGGAAUGUGGUUUCCCCAGAGCCUUCCGCUUCAUGCCAGGUGCUGAUGAAGCCUCAGGUAGUUUAGAGGGAAUGUCAUGCAGCCCAUGGUAGGGGCAGUUCUCAGUUCUGACCUGUGUGAUCUUGAGCAGCCCCUUGAAAUCCCUAACCCUCUGUUUCUCAAUAUCUACAGUGGGGACGUUUGUUGAUGACUCACUGAGAUAAUGCUCUUAAUACAGGCUAUCAAUACAGGGAGGUGCUAUUGUUUCUCAGCUAACACAAAGCCUUGAAGGUACUGGUUGUUUAUCACUCUCCCCAAAAUCAAAUGAUGCUUUUAAAGCCUGGAACCUUUUUCUGUGUGGGCACUCAUGUCCCUCCUCUUGCCCAAGUUCCUGAGGUGAUGGGAGUUUCUGGUCUGAGCUCCAGACCCUGAUCCUCCUGGUGGCUCAUGGUGAUGCCACUCACUAUUUGUUCCUCCUUGUCCACUUGGUGUGAAAAGGAGUCAACCCUCUCCCGGGAUGAGGCCUACUCAAUGCCGACCCCCAAGGCAGGCACAAUGGAGAAGGUGGUAGAGUCCCUGGUACCAGCUUUCCCGGAUAGAAACAUCUCCUACAUUGCCGCCUUCCCAUGCAUGUACCAGGUCUUCACCACCACCCAACAGACUCAUUUUCCAAGCGCGGCCUUCGACGGGA